rnacentral:rRNA from 1 species
UACGCAGGGGGCUAGCGUUGUUCGGAAUCACUGGGCGUAAAGGGCGCGUAGGCGGCUUUAUAAGUCGGGGGUGAAAGCCUGUGGCUCAACCACAGAAUUGCCUUCGAUACUGUAGAGCUUGAGACCGGAAGAGGUAAGUGGAACUGCGAGUGUAGAGGUGAAAUUCGUAGAUAUUCGCAAGAACACCAGUGGCGAAGGCGGCUUACUGGUCCGGUUCUGACGCUGAGGCGCGAAAGCGUGGGGAGCAAACAGG